UACAGAGGUCUCGAGCGUUGUUCGGAUUCAUUGGGCGUAAAGGGUGCGUAGGUGGCCGUGUAAGUCAGAUGUGAAAUCCCGGAGCUCAACUCUGGAACUGCAUUUGAUACUGCGCGGCUAGAGUACUGGAGAGGAGACUGGAAUUUACGGUGUAGCAGUGAAAUGCGUAGAUAUCGUAAGGAAGACCAGUGGCGAAGGCGAGUCUCUGGACAGUUACUGACACUGAGGCACGAAGGCUAGGGGAGCAAACGGG
rnacentral:rRNA from 1 species